rnacentral:rRNA from 1 species
ACGCUGGCGGCACGCUUAACACAUGCAAGUCGAACGCAGUAGCAAUACUGAGUGGCAGACGGGUGAGUAUAAUGUGGGAAUCUGCCUUUUGGUUCGGAAUAACUCGGGGAAACCUGAGCUAAUACCGGAUAAGCCCUUACGGGGAAAGAUUUAUCGCCAAAAGAUGAGCCCGCACUUGAUUAGCUUGUUGGUGAGGUAAAAGCUCACCAAGGCAACAAUCAAUAGCUGUUCUUAGAGGAAGACCAGCCACAUUGGGACUGAGACACGGCCCAGACUCCUACGGGAGGCAGCAGUGGGGAAUCUUGCACAAUGGGGGAAACCCUGAUGCAGCGAUGCCGCGUGAGUGAAGAAGGCCUUUGGGUUGUAAAACUCUUUCGUCGGGGAAGAAAAUGACUGUACCCGAAUAAGAAGGUCCGGCUAACUUCGUGCCAGCAGCCGCGGUAAUACGAAGGGACCUAGCGUAGUUCGGAAUUACUGGGCUUAAAGAGCUCGUAGGUGGUUAAAAAAGUUGGUGGUGAAAUCCCAAGGCUCAACCUUGGAACUGCCAUCAAAACUUUUUAGCUAGAGUAUGAUAGAGGAAAGUGGAAUUUCUAGUGUAGAGGUGAAAUUCGUAGAUAUUAGAAAGAACACCAAAUGCGAAGGCAACUUUCUGGAUCAUUACUGACACUGAGGAGCGAAAGCAUGGGUAGCGAAGAGGAUUAGAUACCCUCGUAGUCCAUGCUGUAAACGAUGUGUGCUAGACGUUGGAAAUUUUAUUUUCAGUGUCGCAGCAAAAGCGUUAAGCACACCGCCUGGGGAGUACGACCGC